rnacentral:rRNA from 1 species
ACUCCUACGGGAGGCAGCAGUGGGGAAUAUUGCACAAUGGGCGAAAGCCUGAUGCAGCGACGCCGCGUGAGGGAUGACGGCCUUCGGGUUGUAAACCUCUUUCAGCAGGGAAGAAGCGCAAGUGACGGUACCUGCAGAAGAAGCACCGGCUAACUACGUGCCAGCAGCCGCGGUAAU